rnacentral:rRNA from 1 species
CGCACGCACUCCUACGGGAGGCAGCAGUGGGGAAUAUUGCACAAUGGGCGCAAGCCUGAUGCAGCCAUGCCGCGUGUAUGAAGAAGGCCUUCGGGUUGUAAAGUACUUUCAGCAGUGAGGAAGGUGGGUAUGUUAAUAGCAUAUUCAUUUGACGUUAGCUGCAGAAGAAGCACCGGCUAACUCCGUGCCAGCAGCCGCGGUAAUACGGAGGGUGCGAGCGUUAAUCGGAAUUACUGGGCAUAAAGCGCAUGCAGGUGGUUUGUUAAGUCAGAUGUGAAAGCCCGGGGCUCAACCUCGGAAUUGCAUUUGAAACUGGCAAACUAGAGUACUGUAGAGGGGGGUAGAAUUUCAGGUGUAGCGGUGAAAUGCGUAGAGAUCUGAAGGAAUACCGGUGGCGAAGGCGGCCCCCUGGACAGAUACUGACACUCAGAUGCGAAAGCGUGGGGAGCAAACAGGAUUAGAUACCCGGGUAG